UAUGCAAGCACCAUAACUGGAAUAUGUGGGUUGUCUCAUAUUGAAGUUUAAUUUUAUCUUUUUAUUUUAUGAUUUGAUGAACCUAAAACGUGGUGCUAGGCCUAUCCCGCCUAUCUUGAGACAAACAAACUUUCCAUUAAGAAGUUAGUCUCUAACCAAAUAUUUUUGCAAAAUAAACAUUCCUGCUGAACCAUUGAAAAAUUGAA
rnacentral:misc_RNA from 1 species